GCCGCCGGUGUCACUGGCUCGUGUUACUCACCGCCACUGCCAUUCGACUUGCCGAUCAACGAUCAACAUUACUACGCCGUCAUCGAGAUCAAAAAGGGGUCGUAUGUUGUUCAAAUCCGGUUAAAAAAUUUUAGAAACUUUUUAACUUCCACAGAUCCGGCUGAUCGGCGGCGAUUUGGCGGUUACUAGUGGCUAUGGAUGGUCGGAAAUGGAAGUGGCAGCCUUGAUGGACAAAGCCAAGGCGAAGGCGUGACGAGAGAAAUGUAUGUUAGGGUUUGCCAAUAUAGAAUAGAUUUUUUAUGGGGUUGUGAUAAAAAGUAAAAGGACG
rnacentral:lncRNA from 1 species